AGGAGAGUUUGAUCCUGGCUCAGGACGAACGCUGGCGGCAUGCCUAACACAUGCAAGUCGAACGGAGAUGAGAGAGCUUGCUUUCUCAUCUUAGUGGCGGACGGGUGAGUAACGCGUGAGCAACCUGCCUUUAAGUGGGGAAUAAUAUUCUGAAAAGAGUACUAAUACCGCAUAAUGUAUUGAAGUCGCAUGGCUUUGGUACCAAAGAUUUAUCGCUUAGAGAUGGGCUCGCGUCCGAUUAGCCAGUUGGUGGGGUAACGGCCUACCAAAGCAACGAUCGGUAGCCGGACUGAGAGGUUGAACGGCCACAUUGGGACUGAGACACGGCCCAGACUCCUACGGGAGGCAGCAGUGGGGGAUAUUGCGCAAUGGGGGAAACCCUGACGCAGCAAUGCCGCGUGAAGGAAGAAGGUCUUCGGAUUGUAAACUUCUUUUGUCAGGGACGAAAAUGACGGUACCUGACGAAUAAGCUCCGGCUAACUACGUGCCAGCAGCCGCGGUAAUACGUAGGGAGCAAGCGUUGUCCGGAUUUACUGGGUGUAAAGGGUGCGCAGGCGGCUUUGCAAGUCAGCUGUGAAAUCUAUGGGCUCAACCCAUAAAUUGCAGUUGAAACUGUAGAGCUUGAGUGAAGUAGAGGUAGGCGGAAUUCCCGGUGUAGCGGUGAAAUGCGUAGAGAUCGGGAGGAACACCAGUGGCGAAGGCGGCCUACUGGGCUUUAACUGACGCUCAGGCACGAAAGCAUGGGUAGCAAACAGGAUUAGAUACCCUGGUAGUCCCCU
rnacentral:rRNA from 1 species